CACGUAGGCGGCAAGGUAAGUCAAAGGUGAAAGCCCUCGGCUCGACCGAGGAACUGCCUUUGAAACUGCUUUGCUUGAGUCCGGGAGGGGGGAGCGGAAUUCCCAGUGUAGCGGUGAAAUGCGUAGAUACUGGGAGGAACACCGGUGGCGAAGGCGGCUCCCUGGACCGGUACUGACGCUGAGGUGCGAAAGCGUGGGUAGCAAACA
rnacentral:rRNA from 1 species